AUAAUGGCCCGCUCUGGUAUUAUUGCCUGGAAAAUUCCAUGGACAGAGGACCCUAGCGGGCUACAGUCCAUGAGUUUGCAAACAGUCGGAUAUGACUGAGCAGGAACACACACAUAGGCAUAGAGAGAUUUGGAAGGGUAUAACACCAAUAUGUUCCAGUAGUCACGUAUGGAUGUGAGAGUUGGACUAUAAAGAAAGCUGAGCACCGAAGAAUUGAUGCUUUUGAACUGUGGUGUUGGAGAAUACUCUUGAGAGUCCUUUGGACUGCAAGGAGAUCCAACCAGUCAUGCUAAAGGAAAUCAGUUCUGAAUAUUCAUUGGAAGGACUGAUAUUGAAGCUGAAACUCCAAUACUUUGGCCACCUCGUUGGAAGAGACCCUGAUGCUGGGAAAGAUUGAAGGCAGGAGAAGGGGAUGACAGAGGAUGAGAUGGUUGGAUGGCAUCACUGACUCAAUGGACAUGAGUUUGACAAAGCUCUGGGAGAUGGUGAAGGACAGGGAAGCCUGGUGUGCUGCAGCCCAUGGGGUCGCAAAGAGUGGGACAGGACUGAGCAACUGAACUGAACUGUACUGAGCACCAAUAUGUUAGCCUUUGUUAUCUCCCAAUGAUGAGGAAUCUGCCAUUCUGAGAACCUUGAGAGCUCAUGCAGGUGCUGAACUCCGGAUUCAGUCCCAGGCCUGUCUGACUCCAUGGCUACACUGCCUCUGGUUCUUGGGAGAGAGAAUGCAUCUUCUGGGGACCUGGUUGCCCUGUAUUUGUCCCUGGGUGCAGAUGUUCAGACAUUUCAGGAGACUUCUGGGAUUUGCAUCAUGUAUUGAAUUCAAUCAGCACUUCUUAACAUGGGUUCACAGAAGCCAUGUCCAGACCUCAAAGGUGAGCAAGAUAGAAGCAGUCUCAUCUGGGAGCAUACUUAAGUAUCUUUGAAUCGUCCCUGGAACUGUGGCUUCAUCUGACCAACUGCAGUUCUUUCAGACCCAGAACCCCACUGAACUGGGAGCAGCUUAGCAGGGGGCACAGAAGUGUCUUCCUUUGCCACCUGUUCCACAUGUGUGGCUCAUCUGAAUCUGGCACCUGUUCUUUUUGACAAAAUCUGCCACAUGCUUGCUUUCCCUUGUUCUCUUUCUCCCCACCCC
ensembl:lncRNA